UACGUAGGUGGCAAGCGUUGUCCGGAUUUAUUGGGUUUAAAGGGUGCGUAGGCGGCCCUGUAAGUCAGUGCUGAAAUAUCCCGGCUUAACCGGGAGGGUGGCAUUGAUACUGCAGGGCUUGAGUACAGAUGAAGUAGGCGGAAUUGACGGUGUAGCGGUGAAAUGCAUAGAUAUCGUCAAGAACACCGAUAGCGAAGGCAGCUUACUAAGCUGUAACUGACGCUGGAGGCACGAAAGUGUGGGGGAUCAAACAGG
rnacentral:rRNA from 1 species